rnacentral:rRNA from 1 species
UGGGGAAUAUUGCACAAUGGGCGCAAGCCUGAUGCAGCCAUGCCGCGUGUGUGAAGAAGGCCUUCUGGUUGUAAAGCACUUUCAGCGGGGAGGAAGGCGGUGAGGUUAAUAACCUCAUCGAUUGACGUUACCCGCAGAAGAAGCACCGGCUAACUCCGUGCCAGCAGCCGCGGUAAUACGGAGGGUGCAAGCGUUAAUCGGAAUUACUGGGCGUAAAGCGAACGCAGGCGGUCUGUCAAGUCGGAUGUGAAAUCCCCGGGCUCAACCUGGGAACUGCAUUCGAAACUGGCAGGCUAGAGUCUUGUAGAGGGGGGUAGAAUUCCAGGUGUAGCGGUGAAAUGCGUCGAGGUCUGGAGGAAUACCGGUGGCGAAGGCGGCCCCCUGGACAAAGACUGACGCUCAGGUGCGAAAGCGUGGGGAGCAAACAGG